ensembl:lncRNA
CCGGCACCAAAUAGGUCUGUAAACUUUGAACAUUUAGCAGCUUCCCCCUCCAGAGAGUCGCAGUUUUUCAGCGCCACCUGGGCGUUUCUUACGCUUAUCCAUUUUCAGCUCCGUCACGACUCCGGCCCAUGCCAUGAGGUCCCCCCACCCUAGUUUCUGUUGUGAUUGACGGCACUGUCAGGGCUCUCUGAGCCUGUCAGCCCAUGAUUGAUUGACAAUGACAAACAUAGACCAAUAAUAUGUGUCGAGGCUGGCCACACACUGCUAGCCCCAAUUUAGAGAGAGAGUAAAAGACAAAACAUAGCGGACCGGACCGGCCCACAUUGGGUCAACGGCCCGCCGGGACGAUGCCCUGUAUGCCAGAUGGCCAGUCCACCCCUGCUCGGGGGGCAGAGGAGGUAGAGGAGGACGGGGCUCCAGAGACUUCACUGUCAGGGGCAGGAGAUGAUGAGGAGCUUGAGGAGGCAGCAGCAGGGCCAUCGCACAAUACAGGAUAUUCUGGAUACACUGGACGUCCCUGCUCUGAUGACGGAAUUCAUCAGCCCCACCCCAGAACGAAAGACCACCUUUGGAGUCCUACCAUCUACUUAAGACCAGCCCAGCAGUGAGUCAGACCCAGAGGACGCUGAUGCUGCUCCUGCUCCUGCUCCUGCUCCUGCUCCUGCUCCUGCUCCUGCCCCUGUCCCUGUCCCUGCCGCUGGCCCUUCCUGUGUACCUGUCCCUGAGGCUGGCCCUGCCCCAAGACCACAGAGCGGGACGAAGAGGAAGAGAGCCAGGGUACCAGAGGGGAACACAAAUAUGCAGGGAGCCAUCCUCCAGGCCCUGCAGAGGCAAAAUGCUGUGCCUACCCCUACCCCGCUCUCUGGGAAUGAGCACUUUGUCAUGGGCCUAGUUCCUUCCCUGGAGAGAUUGCCACCUGAAGCACUGGAGUACGUUAAAUUCAAAAUUCGUAAGGUCAUAUUUGACAAUUUCACCCUUAAUUUGGAACCUUUUUAAGCCUAUUAGCUAGUGGUGGUGACAAUCUCUCCAGGGAAAGAACUAGGCUGAUGUCACUGUGCUACUGUUAACUGUUAAUUUGUUAUUGUUCUGUUAUGUUUAUAUCAUAUUGUUCUUAUGUUAUUUUUAUUAUUUUUAUUUUUAU